UACUACCGAAGCUACGGCAUCAGUAAUGAUGGGUAGGGGAGCUUCCCAUACGGGUUGAAGCAUGACCGUAAGGACAUGUGGACAGUAUGGGAGUGAGAAUGUUGGCAUGAGUAGCGAGAUGUGGGUGGGAAUCCCACAGGCCGUAAACCCAAGGUUUCCAGGGGAAGGUUCGUCCACCCUGGGUUAGUCGGGACCUAAGCUGAGGCCGAAAGGCGUAGGUGAUGGACAACAGGUUGAUAUUCCUGUACUACCGAUAACCGUUUGAGAGAAGGGAUGACACAGUAGGAUAAGCUAAGCACCCUGUUGGUUAU
rnacentral:rRNA from 1 species